CGGGCCCGGGGAGAGCUCCUUCCCCCUUCUGCGCUGACAAAUGGCACAGCUGUGGUGUGACAUGUCAGCACUUGCAUCGCGGAUCUCCAGAGACAAACCAGGAAUGUUCUGCAUGCCAGACAGCGGCGCUGAGCCAUCGCAUCGAGACAACCUUCUUGAGGGAGCCGUGGGCCCCGGGUGAAGAAGGAGAGUGGGGAAUCCAUUGACAUUUUGACUCGCAGGCUUUAAGGCAGAAGCAGCCCACUGCAGCCAGGACAGCUCUACAGCUGAAAGAGAAGAUGUCUUGCAAAAAUGUGCUAAAUCCAUGCACCAUUUGCUGCAUAGACACUGCACUGAUUUGAAACAGCUCGCCUGGCAUUUAGAUAAGAGACCAUGAGAAUCAGACAGAACCGUGAGCAACUGCUUUUUGGAAAUGGCCCCUUUACCCUUCAGGACUACCUGACACUCGUUAGAAGAAAGAAGUUCUCCAAACAAAAGCUAAUGGAAGGAUGAAAAAAAGGCUUUAUAAUGGACUAUAAAGCUUUGUAAUCGCUGCUGGCAAAGCCAGUGGUGAUCUGAAAGGCUAUUACUAUGGCGUAAUAUUUUCCAGUUUUCAUGCAGUCCCAAUGUCAAGUGAUACAAGCAAUAAAGCGCUCUCUUCCCUUCCCCUGUAA